rnacentral:rRNA from 1 species
GUAGGUGGCAAGCGUUGUCCGGAAUUAUUGGGCGUAAAGCGCGCGCAGGCGGUUCUUUAAGUCUGAUGUGAAAGCCCACGGGCUCAACCGUGGAGGGUCAUUGGAAACUGGAGAACUUGAGUACAGAAGAGGAAAGCGGAAUUCCACGUGUAGCGGUGAAAUGCGUAGAGAUGUGGAGGAACACCAGUGGCGAAGGCGGCUUUCUGGUCUGUAACUGACGCUGAGGCGCGAAAGCGUGGGGAGCAAACAGGAUUAGAUACCCUGGUAGUCCACGCCGUAAACGACGAGUGCUAAGUGUUAGGGGGUUUCCGCCCCUUAGUGCUGCAGCUAACGCAUUAAGCACUCCGCCUGGGGAGUACGGCCGCAAAGGCUG